rnacentral:tRNA from 1 species
GGAGCUUAGCUCAGCUGGGAGAGCAUCUGCCUUACAAGCAGAGGGUCGGGGGUUCGAUCCCCUCAGCCUCCACCA